GGAAGGAUGGCAGAGCGGUCUAUUGCAACGGUCUUGAAAACCGUGACCCAUGUGGUCUCGUGGGUUCGAAUCCCACUCCUUCCG
rnacentral:tRNA from 1 species